rnacentral:rRNA from 1 species
AGUGAACGCUGGCGGUAGGCCUAACACAUGCAAGUCGAACGGCAGCACAGUAAGAGCUUGCUCUUACGGGUGGCGAGUGGCGGACGGGUGAGGAAUACAUCGGAAUCUACUUUUUCGGGGGGGAUAACGUAGGGAAACUUACGCUAAUACCGCAUACGACCUACGGGUGAAAGCAGGGGAUCUUCGGACCUUGCGCGAUUGAAUGAGCCGAUGUCGGAUUAGCUAGUUGGCGGGGUAAAGGCCCACCAAGGCGACGAUCCGUAGCUGGUCUGAGAGGAUGAUCAGCCACACUGGAACUGAGACACGGUCCAGACUCCUACGGGAGGCAGCAGUGGGGAAUAUUGGACAAUGGGCGCAAGCCUGAUCCAGCCAUACCGCGUGGGUGAAGAAGGCCUUCGGGUUGUAAAGCCCUUUUGUUAGGAAAGAAAAGCAGCAGGUUAAUACCCCGCUGUUCUGACGGUACCCAAAGAAUAAGCACCGGCUAACUUCGUG